CCAGGCCUCACUGGAUCAUUAAAAACACAUUUCAAGAAGUGCCUUUAAAUUCUCCAGAUCCACUAAAUCAGUGUGUUUUACUGCAGUGUAUUGUGAGAUCGCAGGUUGAGAGGAUGAACGCUCAACUGUGCUGCUCGUUGAUCACUGUCUUGUUGUGUCUCUCUGUGUGCUUGAGCACAAAAGACGUCAAAAAAUAUGCAAAGCCAGGAGUGUGUCCUGAUGACAAAGACAUGAUAGGAGCAUGUGUCGAGAAGUGUUUUGGUGACCGUGAAUGUCCAGAUGAUGAGAAAUGUUGCAGCAAUGGAUGUGGGCAUCAGUGUAUGCCUCCAUAUACAGCAUUAAAGCCAGGAUCGUGUCCAAAACCCAUUGGAUUUGGACACUGUGCUGAGAUGUGUUCUGGUGACGGUAGCUGUCCAAACAACCAGAAAUGCUGCAGCAAUGGAUGUGGACAUCAGUGUAUGGCUCCAUAUAGAGAAAUGCUGCAGCAAUGGAUGUGGACAUCAGUGUACGGCUCUACCUAAAGAAAAGCCAGGAGUGUGUCCAAUGACUUUGGCUGGAGUAAAAGGACCGUGUGAAGAGUUGUGUGUCAGUGACUUUGACUGUCC